ensembl:lncRNA DNMBP-AS1 DNMBP antisense RNA 1
AAUCAAACUUGAAGUGUUUACGGUCUAGGGUAGAUGUCCAACAGGGAGCAGGGACUAUCAAUCUGGAACUCAGAGACGAAACCAUGGAGUGACAGGUGCAGGUUAAGAGCCUGUUAGGUCCAAAAUGGUGCCCCAGAAAUUCAAGUUAAGUCAAGCCCAUGUUGGAAGACCACCAGGGGUAUCUACUUCACCAUUAACAAUGCAGUCAUCUUGAUUUCCAGAACUUACUGACUCAUCCACAGUCCUCAGGGGCCCCAACAGCUCUACAAAACCUUCUGGAAAAAUGCCUCUUCGGCCCUCUAACUCCCCUUCAAACCAGCCUGGUUCAGGAACUCCAAUAAUGGUGAUCACAUCCCCUUCCCUGAAGUCCAGCUCUUCAUCCAGCUGAGCAGAAAGCCCCAUUAGGGCCCGGGCUUGUCCCAUGGAAUAUUCCGGAAUCUGAAACAGGGCGCUCUGGGAGUGCCACUGCCGGCUCUGUGAGGAGAGGCAGAGCUCGCGGACACAUGAAGAUGGGAAGAAGCCCCGUGCGCCCCAGCAGCUUCGGCCCUGCAGCCAGCCUGCAGUGGGAAUGCCAUCGAGAAUCACCAGGUCACCUAAAGAAAAGAGGAGCAGAGAUGGUGACCUCAGUCAUCACCCAGCAGAACAUUAUCACGACUAAUAGUGCAACCUCUCAUUUUAAACAGCUACCAAAUUCAAGGAAAUACACCUAGAGCUUUAGGAGCAUGAACAAUUUUGACAAUUUAUUGAAUUGGAGCAGUUCUAUAAACCUGUAGUUUUCAGAGUGUUCCAUGGAACCCUACAGGUGGGUCUCCAAGAUCCUAGCAGAGAAUCUGUGAGGUCAAAACCAUUCUCAUAAUAACACUAAGACUUUAUCUACAUAUUUUACUCUGCUGACUUUUGUAAUCUCUGUGAAAAAGCAAUGGUGAUUAAAACUGCUGGCCAGCUAGGUGCUGUGGCUUACACCAGAAAUCCGAGCACUUUGGGAGGCCAAGGCAGGAGGAUCGCUUGAGACCAGGAGUUCAAAACCAGCCUGGGCAACAUGUCAAGACCUUGUCUCUACAAUAAAUUUAAAAAUUAGCUGUGCACUGUGGCUCAUGCCUGUAGUCCCAGCUAUUCAGGAGGCUGAGGUGGGAGGAUAGCUUGAACCCAGGAGGUCAAGGCUGCAGUAAGCUGUGAUUUCACCACUACGCUCCAGUCUGGGUGACAGAGCAACACUUGUCUCAAAAAUAAAAAUAAAAUGGCUGGGCGCGAUGGCUCAUGCCUGUGAUCCCAGCACUUUGGGAGGCCAAGGCAGGCGGAUCACUUGAGGUCAGGAGUUCGAGAGCAGCCUGGUCAACAUGGUGAAACACCAUCUCUACUAAAAAUACAAAAAUUAGCUGAGCAUGGUGGCACGUGCCUGUAGUCCCAGCUAUUCAGGAGGCUGAGGCAGAAAUUAAACUCAGGAGGCAGAGGUCGCAGUGAGCCGAGAUCGCACCACUGCACUCCAGCUUGGGCAACAGAGCAAGACUCCAUCUCAAAAAAAUAAUAAAUUAAUUAAAAACUGCUGGCAAUUCAUAAGCAAAGGCAGUAGCCACAAAUUACAUGAAUAGUCACUGUAUGGUCAUCGUAUUCUUCACAACCAUGUACUCACAGUUUUUAAAAAAGCCAUUUUCAGUUAA